rnacentral:misc_RNA from 1 species
AAGUCGUAACAAGGUAACCGUAGGUGAACCUGCGGUUGGAUCAUUAACAAAUUUUCAACAAGCCUAGAUUGAAUUUAUUCUCUCUAGGUCUUGAACAAUUUUGUGAACUGUUUUAACGUUUUUUUGGGUAGGCUUGAGGGGUCCUCCAGUCAAAUGGUGGGCUUCAAACGAAGGUGAGCAGUUCUUUUAGGACUGUUCUUGUCUACCCAAGUGUAAUUUUAGACCUUAGUAGAAAAACUUGUCUAUAAAUAAAAAAAUUGAUUUAUUUUUUGAAUAAAAUUUUAAACAACUUUUGACAACGGAUCUCUAGGCUCUC